AUACGUAGGGGGCGAGCGUUGUCCGGAAUGAUUGGGCGUAAAGGGCGCGUAGGCGGCCCGGUAAGUCUGGAGUGAAAGUCCUGUUUUUAAGAUGGGAAUUGCUUUGGAUACUGUCGGGCUUGAGUGCAGGAGAGGUAAGUGGAAUUCCCAGUGUAGCGGUGAAAUGGGUAGAGAUUGGGAGGAACACCAGUGGCGAAGGCGGCUUACUGGACUGUAACUGACGCUGAGGCGCGAAAGUGUGGGGAGCAAACAGGAUUAGAUACCCUGGUAGUCCACGCUGUAAACGAUGAAUGCUAGGUGUAGGGGGUAUCGACCCCUUCUGUGCCGCAGUCAACACAAUAAGCAUUCCGCCUGGUGAGUACGGCCGCAAGGUUGAAACUCAAAUGAAUUGACGGGG
rnacentral:rRNA from 1 species